rnacentral:rRNA from 1 species
ACUACGGGUGGCUGCAGUGGGGAAUAUUGCACAAUGGGCGCAAGCCUGAUGCAGCCAUGCCGCGUGUGUGAAGAAGGCCUUCGGGUUGUAAAGCACUUUCAGCGGGGAGGAAGGCGUUAAGGUUAAUAACCUUGGCGAUUGACGUUACCCGCAGAAGAAGCACCGGCUAACUCCGUGCCAGCAGCCGCGGUAAUACGGAGGGUGCAAGCGUUAAUCGGAAUUACUGGGCGUAAAGCGCACGCAGGCGGUCUGUCAAGUCGGAUGUGAAAUCCCCGGGCUCAACCUGGGAACUGCAUUCGAAACUGGCAGGCUAGAGUCUUGUAGAGGGGGGUAGAAUUCCAGGUGUAGCGGUGAAAUGCGUAGAGAUCUGGAGGAAUACCGGUGGCGAAGGCGGCCCCCUGGACAAAGGCUGACGCUCAGGUGCGAAAGCGUGGGGAGCAAACAGGAUUAGAUACCCGAGUAGUC